rnacentral:rRNA from 1 species
CCUACGGGAGGCAGCAGUGAGGAAUAUUGGGCAAUGCCCGCAAGGGUGACCCAGCAACGCCGCGUGAAGGAUGAAUGCCGUAAGGUUGUAAACUUCUGUUAGAGGGGACGAAUAGCUCUGAUCGCAUCAGAGUUUGACGGUACCCUCAGAGAAAGCCCCGGCUAACUACGUGCCAGCAGCCGCGGUAAUACGUAGGGGGCAAGCGUUGUCCGGAUUUACUGGGUGUAAAGGGCGCGCAGGCGGAAUCGUAAGUCAGAGGUGAAAUCCUGCAGCUUAACUGCAGAACUGCCUUUGAUACUGCGAUUCUUGAGUGCGGAAGAGAGAGACGGAAUUCCAGGUGUAGUGGUGAAAUAUGUAGAUAUCUGGAAGAACACCAGUUGCGAAGGCGGUCUCUUGGUCCGUAACUGACGCUCAGGCGCGAAAGCGUGGGUAGCAAACAGGAUUAGAUACCCUGGUAGUCCACGCUGUAAACGAUGAAUACUAGGUGUUGGGUCGCAAGAUUCAGUGCCGCAGCAAACGCAUUAAGUAUUCCACCUGGGGAGUACGAUCGCAAGGUUGAAACUCAAAUGAAUUGACGG